rnacentral:rRNA from 1 species
CACGAAACCAGGCGAGCUACUACGGAGCGUAUUAUAGUACAAAUUAUGUAGCAUAAUAAUAGUAGACUCUGUGGUAGGAGUGAUAGGCUGCCCAAGUUUGGUGAUAUCUUGUUUACCUUGAAAUGUAUUGAGUACAUCUCUAAUUUAUCAGUGAUAAGGCUGGUAAAGGAUAUAUAAUUCGAUUAUUUGUAUAAGCAUAGUAUAACUGCUAGCUGGCUUGUAAACUCAAUAUUAAUGUCCAUGUUUAAUAAAAUGUAGGGGUCAAUAUUUAAUUAGUCUYACUAUUUAUAUUGUAAACAUAAGUANNUACAAACAUUAUUGAUGAACUCGGCAACAUUUCUUUCACCUGUUUAUCAAAAACAACGCCAGUAGGAGAUAUUAUUGGUUUAUUCUGCUCCAUGUAAACAUAAAUAGCCGCAGUACCCUGACUGUGCAAAGGUAGCAUAAUCAUUUGGCUUAUAAUUGAAGUCUAGGAUGAAAGAAUUCAUGGGGGAAAACUCUAUUGAUAAUGACACAAUGAAUUUGCUUAGUGGGUGCAAAUACCCACUUGAUAACAAUAGACGAGAAGACCCUUGAAAUUUUUACGAUGUGUAAGGAAAAGUUUUUGUUGGGGCAACAACGUAGCAUUAAACCUACGGUAAUUACACGACACUCUGUGGUAAGAUUAAAUUACUCUAGGGAUAACAGCGUAAUUCUUCAAAGUUUGCGACCUCGAUGUUGGACUAGGAAGCGAUUGCUUAGAA